GGUUUUAUGAAUGGUCUAGGGCUGUUUGAGAGCUUGCGAUGGUGAUCCUACUAGGCAUGUUGCUGCUGAUUGUGCUGGCGAUGCUGCACCCGCCGCCUAAGCAUCGCAAUGUGUGGGCUACUGCCACCUGGAUCCUCUUCCUUGUGGUGGGCAUUUUGAUUUUUCUUGCUCUGUGGGAGAGAUAUGGACACUUUGAGGAAGUAUUUUCUCCUGUCGUGAUUCUAGAAAACUGGUUUGCAGUCAAGAAGGGCACUAGUUCUGCGUUACCUUGGAGAUUGCCCUCUUAUGGAAAUCGUCGAGGCUUACUAAUAGUGGUCAACGAUGAGAAUAUCACUAGAUGCACUGAUGAUGCUGCUGACAUUGAGAUGUUACGCCACGAGUCUUUUGGAUACACUGAAGUCUAGCUCCUGUCCGGUAUCGUUACUGGUUUAUGAUUGUUUGCGUCUCUUUACUUUACAUGGUUGGUUUUUGUUAGGUCCGAGCACUAGACGUGCUUAUUUUGCAAUCAAAAAGUUCAUCACAAGUGGAGUUACUGGAGAUCGGCUUUUCUUCUUCUUUUGUGGACAUGGUUUGGAGAGCCUUCUUGAUAUGAAUGGUGAUGAACUUGAUGGCAACAAUGAAGCAAUUUGCUUCUCAAAUGGACUUCAGUUUAUCCAAAGGACUUGUGGAGUAGCAUCUCAAUGUCAGCAACGUCAUCAGUGCAUCCAGUGAUAUUCUCAUCAUUAACCGUUAUUAGUAGGCCUCGACGAUCUUUAUAAAAAGGCAAUCUCCAGGGUAACGCGGAAUCAGUGCCCUUCUUGACCGCAAACUAGUUUUCUAAAGUCACGACGGGAGAAAACGCUUCCUCAAAGUGUCCCUAUCUCUCCCACAGAGCAAGAAGAAUCGAAAUGCUCACUAGAAUAAAUAGCAUCAGCAAUGUUGAAUGGCAGCAAUCUAUAAGCAUCGAAAAAGAUUUGGGUAUGCUUUUUCAUUUAUUCUUCUGUUAUGUUUUUUGGUCAUGAUUUUGUUUGUAUGUAGGUGCUCAUAGAUGAUAUUCUACAUAAGAUAAUGGUAGAAGAUCUUCAACCUGGUGUCCAGCUAACUGCUGUGCUUAACGAAUGCCACAGCGGCACGAUGCUUGAUUUGCCUUUCCAGACAACAGGGAAAAGAUGGAUGAAGGCUUCAAAUCAAGUUUCAACUCUGCUGCAAGCAAAGGUUUUCUUCAAAACGACUGUUACCUCAAUUGCAGCGUGCCUGGAUCACGAGAUAACUUUGUUUUAUCAAACUCAGAGACACAGUCUUUUCACUCUCGAUUUCACCAAAUCCAUUCGUGAAGGAGCAAACACGUACAAGCUACUCCUUGAGAGUAUGCACAAGAAGCAGCAAGAAGCUGGAUUAAGGAAUAGCACAAUCAAUAUAUGUGCAACUGAGCCGUUUUCUCUUGAUCAGGUACUUGUGUUGUAGCCUCUGAAUGAAGUUCUGCUGGCGUUAAUAAAGUUUACUGACUUUCCAUU